rnacentral:rRNA from 1 species
GUUAUCUGAUCCUCUUUUAGAGGUGACGAUAUGGAAUGAGCGGCGGACGGGUGAGUAACACGUAGGCAACCUGCCUGUAAGACUGGGAUAACUCGUGGAAACGCGAGCUAAUACCGGAUAACACUUUUCAUCUCCUGAUGAGAAGUUGAAAGGCGGCUUUUGCUGUCACUUACAGAUGGGCCUGCGGCGCAUUAGCUAGUUGGUAAGGUAAUGGCUUACCAAGGCGACGAUGCGUAGCCGACCUGAGAGGGUGAUCGGCCACACUGGGACUGAGACACGGCCCAGACUCCUACGGGAGGCAGCAGUAGGGAAUCUUCCGCAAUGGACGAAAGUCUGACGGAGCAACGCCGCGUGAGUGAUGAAGGUUUUCGGAUCGUAAAACUCUGUUGUUAGGGAAGAACAAGUGCCAUAGUAACUGAUGGCACCUUGACGGUACCUAACCAGAAAGCCACGGCUAACUACGUGCCAGCAGCCGCGGUAAUACGUAGGUGGCAAGCGUUGUCCGGAAUUAUUGGGCGUAAAGCGCUCGCAGGCGGUUCUUUAAGUCUGAUGUGAAAUCUUACGGCUCAACCGUAAACGUGCAUUGGAAACUGGGGAACUUGAGUGCAGAAGAGGAGAGUGGAAUUCCACGUGUAGCGGUGAAAUGCGUAGAGAUGUGGAGGAACACCAGUGGCGAANGCGACUCUCUGGUCUGUAACUGACGCUGAGGAGCGAAAGCGUGGGGAGCGAACAGGAUUAGAUACCCUGGUAGUCCACGCCGUANACGAUGAGUGCUAGGUGUUUAGGGGGUUUCCGCCCCUUAUGCUGAAGUUAACGCAUAAGCACUCCNCCUGGGGAGUACGGCCGCAGGGCUGAGACUCAAAGAAAUGACAGAGGGCGCGCACAAGCGGUGCGAGCAUGUGGUUGUAUUCUAAUCAACGACGAGAACGUACCAGGUCUUGACAUCCUCUGACCACUCUAGAGAUAAGUUUUCCUUUCUGCGACGGAGUGACAGGUGGU